rnacentral:rRNA from 1 species
UGGGGAAUCUUGCGCAGUGGGCGAAAGCCUGACGCAGCGACGCCGCGUGAGGGAAGACGGCCUUCGGGUUGUAAACCUCUUUCAGGAGGGACGAAGCUACUCGGGUGAAUAGCCCAGAGGGUGACGGUACCUCCAGAAGAAGCCCCGGCUAACUACGUGCCAGCAGCCGCGGUAAUACGUAGGGGGCAAGCGUUGUCCGGAUUUACUGGGCGUAAAGAGCGUGUAGGCGGCCAAAACAGGUCUGUUGUGAAAACUGGAGGCUCAACCUCCAGACGUCGACAGAAACCGUCUGGCUAGAGUCCGGAAGAGGAGAGUGGAAUUCCUGGUGUAGCGGUGAAAUGCGCAGAUAUCAGGAAGAACACCGAUGGCGAAGGCAGCUCUCUGGGACGGUACUGACGCUGAGACGCGAAAGCGUGGGGAGCGAACAGGAUUAGAUACCCUGGUAGUCCACGCCCGUAAAACGAUGGGUGCUAGGUGUGGGAGGUGUCGACUCCUUCCGUGCCGCA